AUUGAACGCUGGCGGCAUGCCUUACACAUGCAAGUCGAACGCGAAAGCGGGGGCAACCCUGCGAGUAGAGUGGCGAACGGGUGAGUAAUACAUCGGAACGUACCCAGGAGUGGGGGACAACCUCGAGAAAUCGAGGCUAAUACCGCAUACGUCCUGAGGGAGAAAGCGGGGGAUUCGCAAGGACCUCGCGCUCAUGGAGCGGCCGAUGUCGGAUUAGCUAGUUGGCGGGGUAAAGGCCCACCAAGGCGACGAUCCGUAGCUGGUUUGAGAGAACGACCAGCCACACUGGGACUGAGACACGGCCCAGACUCCUACGGGAGGCAGCAGUGGGGAAUUUUGGACAAUGGGCGCAAGCCUGAUCCAGCCAUGCCGCGUGAGUGAAGAAGGCCUUCGGGUUGUAAAGCUCUUUCGGCCGGAACGAAAUCGCGUACGUGAAUAACGUGCGUGGAUGACGGUACUGGAAGAAGAAGCACCGGCUAACUACGUGCCAGCAGCCGCGGUAAUACGUAGGGUGCGAGCGUUAAUCGGAAUUACUGGGCGUAAAGCGUGCGCAGGCGGUUCCGCAAGUCAGAUGUGAAAUCCCCGGGCUUAACCUGGGAACUGCGUUUGAAACUACGGAGCUAGAGUACGGC
rnacentral:rRNA from 1 species